GUAAUCUUAUUAGAAGGGCAAUUCUCAACCUAAAAGGGGAACCAUGUGGUAAUGGAGAUGGUUUGGAGAAGCACCACAUUGUAAUGUACUGUGCUAAGGAACCUUAUUGAGGAACUUGUUUGUUCUAAAGCUCAAUAAGGUUUUUUUUAUUUCUUCAUUCUGGUCUGGAAGAUUAUCUUUGUCUCUAUUCAAUUGUUGUAAAUGUUUGUGUCUUGCAUCAACAACUUGCUGGUUGGAUGGACUGUGGGAAACAAGCCCAGUAUUCACAAACUAACUGGAAAGGAUUUCAUCUUGUAUUGGACCCAACAAGGACUUCUAUAGACUCUUGAUGGAAUUAAUUAUAUCUACAAAGGCCCGGUGAGAUCUAUCUAAUUAUUAAAUUAUGGACUGAAAGACUCAAUGAACUCUUCCAAGACUUAUAUUCAAUGAAUGGACUUUAUAGUGGCAUUUGAGAUUAUGAUUUGUGUUUUUCAUAGGUUCUGAUUUUGAUGUUUAGUAAAAUGAGUUAAAGCACUGUUGGUGGAUGGUACCCUGAUUUAAAAAUAUGAUAACGAGUUUAUAAAAAGAAAAAAUCGUUACAAGUGGUGGGGCUUGAACCGGCAACAUUUUGGUUACUAGUCCAGUACCUUAACCACCAGGCUACAACUGCCCUGACUUUGACUGGCCUGCAAUUAUGCAGCCCCAUACACAGGAGGGUUCGAUGCACUGUGUGCUGUAAAACAUUCACCUCAUCCUCAGUCUGUUGGUCAGUAUAUGACACCAUAGCCUUCAUGUCCUCUGGCAUCAAUAAGACUUUGUACCCAACAACAGAUAUUUAUCACAUGGCCUGAUGAAGUCUCUCCUAUUGUGAAGAAUGACAGAUGCAUUUUAUAACUGCAUGAACAUUUAUUUAGGCCAGUGGGAUCAGAUCAGAGUAAACAUGACUACAUCUUGCAAAAAUUAAGAGAAGUUGCCAGACCUCUCCAAGAAGCAAAAAAGUGGACCCUUCUGAUUGAGAUGGAGGACCUCACUGUCCUUGCCAACUUUCCACAUAUGAUACACAGAAAGUAAACAUUAUGGUAUUCAGUACUGAAGAGGAGGUUUUGGGCAGGAAACCUGAUACUCAGAAUACCAUGGCAGUAUCAUCUUAUUUUUCACAGACCUUGUUUUUCAAAAAUCACCAGUGCCACAUUUUACAGCAGUCAUUAAAUAACAUACAUAACAUUCAUACAAAAUUCUCAUCCCUGUUUUGAUCCCCCUUUCCCUCGCCACGUCCACAGAAUUGGUUGGAAGUUUUCCAAACUUACCCGAGUCAUAUUUUUAGCUGCUUUACACCUCAGCAUCUUCAACAUUUUGUCUAACCGACUGCUAAUGUACAGAAGAAAUAAAUGGUACAUAGACAAACUAUCAGAA